AUCGAACGCUGGCGGCAUGCCUAACACAUGCAAGUCGAGCGGAGCGGCGGACGGGUGAGUAAUGCCUAGGAAUCUGCCUGGUAGUGGGGGAUAACGUCCGGAAACGGGCGCUAAUACCGCAUACUAUCAGAUGAGCCUAGGUCGGAUGAGCUAGUUGGGGGGGUAAAGGCCUACCAAGGCGACGAUCCGUAACUGUUCUGAGAGGAUGAUCCGUCACACUGGGACUGAGACACGGUCCAGACUCCUACGGGAGGCAGCAGGGGGGAAUAUUUGGCAAUGGGCGAAAGCCUGAUCCAGCCAUGCCGCGUGUGUGAAGAAGGUCUUCGGAUUGUAAAACACUUUGGGUUGGGAGGCGUUACCAACAGAAUAAGCACCGGCUAACUUCGUGCCAGCAGCCGCGGUAAUUC
rnacentral:rRNA from 1 species